rnacentral:rRNA from 1 species
UGGGGAAUAUUGCACAAUGGGGGAAACCCUGAUGCAGCGACGCCGCGUGAGCGAAGAAGGCCUUCGGGUCGUAAAGCUCUUUUAUAUGGGAAGAUAAUGACGGUACCAUAAGAAAAAGCCCCGGCUAACUACGUGCCAGCAGCCGCGGUAAUACGUAGGGGGCUAGCGCUGUCCGGAAUCACUGGGCGUAAAGGGUUCGCAGGCGGAAAUGCAAGUCAGGUGUAAAAGGCAGUAGCUUAACUACUGUAAGCAUUUGAAACUGCAUAUCUUGAGAAGAGUAGAGGUAAGUGGAAUUUUUAGUGUAGCGGUGAAAUGCGUAGAUAUUAAAAAGAAUACCGGUGGCGAAGGCGACUUACUGGGCUCAUUCUGACGCUGAGGAACGAAAGCGUGGGUAGCAAACAGG